GGAAAUUUUAAAAGUAUUCCCGCUCAAAUGAGUUAUUCAUACAUGGGCCGGAUCCCUCGAUACUGGGACCAGGCUGCCGAGGAUAGAAGAAUUUGCUCUCCGGGUACCUGUGCGAGCCAUUCUUCCUUAUAUCCAGAGCUUUUCGGAUCACCGAGUUUAGAUCUAGGACAUGGAGAAUGUGACUUCUCUUCCUCCUGACCACUCAGUUUCUAACUUUCUUGUUUCUGACAGCAUAACCUGUGCUGUCAGACACAAGUAAAGAGUCCGGGAAAAAGUGGCCCAUCAUGCCGGAUCUCC
rnacentral:lncRNA from 1 species